rnacentral:rRNA from 1 species
AGUUUGAUCCUGGCUCAGGAUGAACGCUAGCUACAGGCUUAACACAUGCAAGUCGAGGGGCAGCAUGGUCUUAGCUUGCUAAGGCCGAUGGCGACCGGCGCACGGGUGAGUAACACGUAUCCAACCUGCCGUCUACUCUUGGACAGCCUUCUGAAAGGAAGAUUAAUACAAGAUGGCAUCAUGAGUCCGCAUGUUCACAUGAUUAAAGGUAUUCCGGUAGACGAUGGGGAUGCGUUCCAUUAGAUAGUAGGCGGGGUAACGGCCCACCUAGUCUUCGAUGGAUAGGGGUUCUGAGAGGAAGGUCCCCCACAUUGGAACUGAGACACGGUCCAAACUCCUACGGGAGGCAGCAGUGAGGAAUAUUGGUCAAUGGGCGAGAGCCUGAACCAGCCAAGUAGCGUGAAGGAUGACUGCCCUAUGGGUUGUAAACUUCUUUUAUAAAGGAAUAAAGUCGGGUAUGCAUACCCGUUUGCAUGUACUUUAUGAAUAAGGAUCGGCUAACUCCGUGCCAGCAGCCGCGGUAAUACGGAGGAUCCGAGCGUUAUCCGGAUUUAUUGGGUUUAAAGGGAGCGUAGAUGGAUGUUUAAGUCAGUUGUGAAAGUUUGCGGCUCAACCGUAAAAUUGCAGUUGAUACUGGAUAUCUUGAGUGCAGUUGAGGCAGGCGGAAUUCGUGGUGUAGCGGUGAAAUGCUUAGAUAUCACGAAGAACUCCGAUUGCGAAGGCAGCCUGCUAAGCUGCAACUGACAUUGAGGCUCGAAAGUGUGGGUAUCAAACAGGAUUAGAUACCCUGGUAGUCCACACGGUAAACGAUGAAUACUCGCUGUUUGCGAUAUACGGCAAGCGGCCAAGCGAAAGCGUUAAGUAUUCCACCUGGGGAGUACGCCGGCAACGGUGAAACUCAAAGGAAUUGACGGGGGCCCGCACAAGCGGAGGAACAUGUGGUUUAAUUCGAUGAUACGCGAGGAACCUUACCCGGGCUUAAAUUGCAGAUGAAUUACGGUGAAAGCCGUAAGCCGCAAGGCAUCUGUGAAGGUGCUGCAUGGUUGUCGUCAGCUCGUGCCGUGAGGUGUCGGCUUAAGUGCCAUAACGAGCGCAACCCUUGUUGUCAGUUACUAACAGGUUCCGCUGAGGACUCUGACAAGACUGCCAUCGUAAGAUGUGAGGAAGGUGG